GUGCUCGCUUCGGCAGCGCGUGUACUAAAAUUGGAAUGAUACAGAGAAGAUCAGCAUGUCCCUGUGUGAGGAUAACGCACAAAUUCGUGAAGUGUUCUAUAUUUUU